ensembl:lncRNA
CUCCUUUGUACACUAAGACCAAGGAGAAAGCCCCGCCAGUGCCUGGGCACUGCUGCACUGUCAAUGUGCAAGAUGAGGUUCUGCUCUCCUGAUAAUGGAGAAUGGACUCCAUCCCCAGCUCUAGGGACGCAGAAGGACCACACUGUUCAUUUCCAACAGAAGGAAAACCAGAUGAAGAUUAAGUCCCUGGAAAGAAAAUGUCAGCAGUCCCUAGAUGUAACCCACUGACCCAUUCCAGUCUCAAUGAAACACCCAAAUCCAGCCUGCCUUUUGGUCAGGAGCAGUGACGCCUGCCAGGCUCAGGAGUAAGUACUGAAGAAGCCCUUAGGGACUUCUUUGGGAAUACCUACAUCUAAGCUAGCCUGGCCCAAUUCAGAAAAUCCUUGAUCUACUAGAAUGAACUGUUUCUGACCCAUCACAGACCUACAGGUCCCUCCCUGCCUGCUGCAGCAGAACGCUGUUUAUAUCCCUUACUGACAGUCUGUUCUUGUAAAGGCUUGGGAGCCCUCAGGGAGAUCCACGGACAUUUCCAGGGCUUGUCACCCUGCUACAAAACAGUACUUGUCUCACACGUGUGCUGCCUUAAGUACCCCAUUGCACUAGUCUUCAUAACACUAAGGGCCUGCCAUUUGCAGCUCCAAAAUCUUCUCCUGAAGUCAUUCAGACAGUGUUUUCCAGACUCCCUUUGGCAAUAUUUUUCUUUAAUUGUUUUUAUGCUAUUGUUCUUGUGCUGUUAUUUUCAUGUCCUUGCACCUGCAAAUCCUGGCAAAGUUGUCAAGACAGGUCCUCAUGGGAAGUAGCUUCCCUGCUGGGGGAAUUGACCUCCUCUCCCCUCUUUUUCUUUGCCUUUUGGCUUGUAAAUGCUAAUUUGUAUUGGAGAAAACCAAACAGUGCACAACAAAGUAGGCAAUAGUAAUUAUUAUUGCCAGUGUUGAAACAUUUGUGUUUGAUUAGCGCACUCUGAUCGGCACCAAUACCAUCAUAAACAGGAACUCUCAAUGAAGAGUUUGAAUGGGUCCCAAUGGAAAAUAAAGUCUACAAGAGGAAAAGCAUCUUGAAAAUCAUUCUCAUGCUCACCAGCUGCUGCUCUGGAGAGAGUCCCAGAGGAUGACUGUGGUCUGGGACCUUGAUGCUGCUUUUCCCAGCUGACUCUGGGCAGAGUUCUCCUUUAAUCUUUUGUAUUUUCUCUGUUUUUAUUUUCCCUCAGAAGUAGCUGCCACAGCUAGAACUGACAUGUGUCUGGUGGCUGUGAGGUCUGGGCUGGUCCCAUUACCACCUUAGCCCAGCUCUUGUUCUAAAAAUUUGCUUACUCAAGUUCAUCAGCAUUUGUCAUCAAAUGAUACAUUAUCCUGACAGCAUGUCUAAUUAAUGCUGAAGUAAAAGACUAACAUAGCAAGGGUUGUAAACCUAAGCAAACCCAAUUAGAUCCAGUCAUAACUCAUGCUUCACACUUUAACCCCAAAUCCAAACCUACUAUACAAAAUAGUAGAUAAAAACGGUCGGCUCUGUCAGGCUUUUCAGUACAUGCUUCCAUCAUAUUAAUUCCAUAUCUAGAUAGGACACCUCUCAGGAAGCCAUCAGUUAUCCUCAUGUUGUCCUAGGCCUAUCUCUAACCCCAAUUCUCACUAUAAACACAGUGCUGAGCAUUUUCCCUGAAUUGCAAGUGUUUGUUAAUCCAGUUUUAGUCUUGUAGCUGAAGUAGAUCAUAUAGAUGUGAGAAGGUUUGGGACUAGCAGUGGUCAUGAAUCACCGUGUGAUCACUUCACAGCUCAUAGUAGAGCCAGGCCUCAUGUUAUGUUCGAGUUUGGGGUUAGCAUCAGGCUUUCAUCCACCAUGGAGCCAGGAGACUGUUGCUGCUGCACCAAGGCAGUACUGCUGAGGUAGGUCUGGGGAUGUUGUUACCAGGGCACAUCUUCUGUUCCCAGAUGUAGUCUGACAGCCAUCACUGGCCUAUUCUUGAGUGGGUUUACAGUUAGGUUUUGUAUGUAGGCAAGAUUAGGGUCUGACUGGCAAUGGACAUUUGUCCUGAAUUAUUGUUUGGUUCAUAAAUAACUACUGAGGUAUUUUAAAACCUCUUGUAAAAAGAGUGAGGGAGUCUAUGGUUAUAUGUCCAGCAGGAUUUCCUGAAUGGUUUUGAGAAUGAAGACUUCUUCUAAAAUAUAAAACAUGAGGUUGUUUGGUUUUUUUCUCCCCCACUUAAAAUCUUCUUCCCUGCUCAUCACUGGAUGUAUUAGAUGUUGGUCUACAUUCCCUGCAGUCUCUUUUCCAUUCAAACAACCAACCUGGAUUAAGUUGCACUGGCAAAAUUUCACACCGUUCUGUGCAAACAGCACUCUUAUUACAUAUGUGGUGCAAAACCACAGCCUCAACAUGUGCCCAUUUGUAAUCUGCCCUUGCAGUCACCUAUGUGAUUCACACCUGCAGCUCAACCUUUUACUGAAUGUGGGAUGAGAUGCAUUUUUGCACCAGUGCUUAAGUUCAGAGCAGAAUCACUCCUCCUCCCCCUGCUCCCUGCCAUGAAAAAGGAAAAAGAAAAAAAAAAGUAAAGAGAAGAGAAGAAAGACAAAAAUUCUAAGUUCAUCUAAACCUAUCAACAUGUGCAGAACGCAUGUCUGUGCCUAUUAAUCACUGCUGGGGAAACACAAAGCCACAGUGCCAUUACGGAAAAGACAACAGAUCAUUCCAAAGCCAUAUGGCCACCACCAUUGAUCCUGACAUCCAGGAAUCAGUGAAUGAUCUUGACUGGUAAGAAUGUAGAACCAGAGCCAAUAUUAUAACUUCACUGCUUCUACAGACUGUGGGGAAACACGUUUUGAGAGUAAUGCAAAGCUGCAACAAAGAGCACAUGGAUAUGCUAUCAGUAUUUGCUAUCAAAGGAUCUCAUCAUAUGGCAUAAUGUGCUUUAAGAGUGAUUACAGUAACUUAAAAAAAAUUGUAUUAGCUCAUUUGUUCCUUAAUAAAUCUGUUUUUUAAGUGAACCCUGAAUGAGUUGGAACAUUAAGUUAUAUGGACAGUCUUCCAAAUCCUUGUACGAGUACACGAUCCCAUUUAUUUAGGUAGGAAUAUUCACACAUAUAUAUGUAUACUAGCACUUAUUAAAUAAAAUAAUUAUCACAUUUUCAAGACUGCUUAUAGUAAAGGCCUUGAAUAUCACAACUGGGUGCAUGACUCAAUAUCUACACUUGGGGCCCUUUAUUGCUGCAGAAACCAGACUGGGAAUUUCCAGCUAGCAUAACAGCCUCUAAAUGUCUUCAUUUUCAUAUACCGUCUCAGAAAGUAGGUGGUCUCUGACAUGGUCUUUAAGUGCAGUGGGCCAG